rnacentral:misc_RNA from 1 species
AACUGAUACUACCUGCGGGAACCUGCGGAGGGAUCAUUAUAGAAAUCAUACCAAGGAGUGGGGUGAGCUUUCCCGGGUUGUUGCUGGCUCCUCGCGGGGCAUGUGCACGCUCGGGUGUGAUCUCCCUCCGAUUUCUCCACACACACCUGUGAACUCAUGUGGAACGCGAAGGGGAGGCCAGUUCUCCUCGGAGCUUCCAUCUUUAUCACUACAAACUCUUGUUGUGACCCGAGAUAACUA